rnacentral:misc_RNA from 1 species
AAACCAUGUUCCCUUUGCUUCAUCUCUUCAUUUUUCUUUGCCUUUCAUUCUCUUAUUGCUGUUAUGGACAAAUCAUCAAUUCUUCCUCUUCUUCAUGUCCUCUCGAUUUCACUUCACUUCGCAAAAUCAUAGAUCAAAAUUCAAAAAGACCCACUUUGAAUUCCACCGCACAGUGUCAGUACAUUCGUCAGGGUUUACGUCUAGUUCAAU